CCUACGGGUGGCAGCAGUAGGGAAUAUUGCUCAAUGGGGGAUACCCUGAAGCAGCAACGCCGCGUGGAGGAUGAAGGUUUUCUGAUUGUUAACUCCUUUUUUUAUAGAAGAUAAUGAUGGUAUCUAACGAAUAAGCACCGGCUAACUCCGUGCCAGCAGCCGCGGUAAUACGGAGGGUGCAAGCGUUACUCGGAAUCACUGGGCGUAAAGAGCGCGUAGGCGGGAUAGCAAGUCAGAUGUGAAAUCCUAAGGCUUAAACAUAGAACUGCAUUUGAAACUGUUAUUCUAGAGUAUGGGAGAGGUAGGUGGAAUGCGUGGUGGAGGGGUAAAAUGCGUAGAGAUCAAGAGGAA
rnacentral:rRNA from 1 species